UGGCACCAUCUCUAUGGCCAUUGGUACUUGGAAUCAGCUCUUUCCUGUAUAGCAUUUCUUAUAGCAGUCUCCUUUGAGUCAAAAGGACUGAUUAUUUUACGUCAAAGAUACCUACUGGUUUUCCUCUGAAUCUGCUAUUGGGUAUCAAAGAGAUAGAAAUGAAAAUGCUCAAUUAUCAUAAAAAGCAACUGUGCAAGUCACAGUAGUUUCUCUCUCUCUCUCCCUCUCUGCACUGGUCUCCCAUUCUUCCUUUCGCUCCUCUUCCUCUUCUCUCUCUCUCUCUCUUUUCAUCCCUCCCUCUCUUCCUCUUUCUUCUCUCUCCCAUCUCUCUGCUUUGUUUCUGCUUCCUCUUUGUCUCUGGCUUUCUCCUUUGAUCUCUGUCUCUCUAUGUGAGUAUGUCUUUCCUAUCCCAGUUUCCUCUCUAUCUCUAUCUCUUUCUCUCAGGCUUUCUCAGGUUCUCUCUGUCUCUCCUAUCUGUCUUCUGUCUCUGUCAGUCUGUCUGUCUCUCUCACUAAGAGGGUCUGCUUGGUGGGCAUUUGCUUUUCUAGACCAGGAUGAGGCAGUGUUAGGGGAGACACAGCUGAUAUUCUGGGAGAAGGAGAAGAAAGGUGAAUCAGAUGAGCUUCAGAGAGUUAACUUGCCUAUGUAACUUAGAAGACAAUAUAAUAGAAGAACAAGACAAUAGAAGACUUAGGAGACAAUUUCUUCCAGAUCUUCUAAACCUUCCAGAUUCCAAGGCCAUUGCUCAUUUUAUAACAUCAUAUAGAUUGUUUAGCACCAGCUCUCUGGCCCUUGCUUUCCUCUAGUAAACCACCUUGGCAGAUGGGGUGAACCAGGGUGAGGGUACAAACAUGUUAGUGAGUUAGGGGGGUAUCCACCUCAGGCAAGCAAAGACUUCCACCUGAAGAAUGGGUGGAUGAUAACAAUUUGGUCCAAUGGCCAUGAUGGCUGUUGAAGUAGGAGCUAUGGAGCACUUAGAGCUUGGUCAGACAUAGAAGACUCCAAAGUCAUCCAUUGCAUCUCAGGCCAUCACCAAUCAUCCUGAAUUUUGUCUUGCCACCAGACUUGGAUGACUCUGGAGGAGAUUUUGAGGCUGAUGACUUUGUGCAACUCUGUCUCACUUAAAUCCAGUUCAUGUACAAGUCAAAACAUCAAGCUAUGAAGGCAUCUGUCCUCUUGGAAUACAAAAUAUGAAUAACAACAAUAACAUACAGCUUGUCUAGCACCAACUCUAUUGCCCUUGCUAUGGGGAACUUUUUUUUUGUCAGACCAGGCAUCUCUCAAUAAUCAAAAUGCAUGGUGAAUAAUCUAUAUCAAAUUGCUUAACUUCUCAAGGAAUGGGGAGAGGAAGAAGUUAGAACUCAAAAUUUUUUAAAUAAAUGUUAACAUUUUUGGCUUUAAAAAAAUCA
rnacentral:lncRNA from 1 species